CUCUUGGCUCUCGCAUCGAUGAAGAAGAACGCAGCAGG
rnacentral:rRNA from 1 species